rnacentral:ncRNA from 2 species
AUUUAAUAUUUGCUCCGAGCUUAUGGGCCUACGAUCACAACCGGUUAUGGCCCUUAAGCCGAUAGGGUUUGUUUGGAAACGGACAGGCCUCCCGGUGCGGAAAGGAGGGAUUUGACAGCGGUC